GGAUCCGUGGUGUAAUGGUAACGCGUCUGACUCUAGAUCAGAAGGUUGCGUGUUCGAUUCACGUCGGGUUCA
rnacentral:tRNA from 1 species